rnacentral:miRNA from 1 species
UCCAACGAAGAUCAGAAGGCUU